CCGGAUUGCGCCCCCCGGGCGGAGCUGAGGGGAUGGCAGAGGAGGGGGCGGCGGGACGGGACGGGGUGGGAUGGGGGCAUGGAUGGGGGGUCGGGAUGGGGUAUGGGUGGGUAUGGGGUGGUGUGCUGUAGGUUGGGGUAUGGGGUGAGGGUGGGAGGGGGAUGGGAUGGGGAUGAUUCAGGUUUGGGAUGCGUAUGGGAUGGGUAUGGGAUUGAUAUGGGAUGGGUAUGGUGUAGGUAUGAUAUAGGUAUGGAAUGGGUAUGGUAUAGGUUUGGGAUGAGUACGGUAUGGGUAUAGGAGGGGUAUGGGAUGGGUACGGUAUGGGUACGGUAUGGGUACGGGAUGGGUACGGGAUGGGUAUGGGAUGGGUAUGGGAUGCAUGCGGUAUAGGUUUGGGAUGGGUAUGGUAUAGGUAUAGCAUGGGUACGGUAUAGGCAUGGUGUGGGUACGGUAUAGACAUGGGGUGGGUAUGGGAUGAGUAUGGGAUGGGAAUGGUAUAGGUUUGGGAUGAAUAUGAUAUAGGCAUGGGAAGGGUAUGGUAUAGGUUUGGGAUGGGUAUUGGUUGGGUGUGGGAUGGGAAUGGGAUGGAUAUGGGAUGGGAAUGGUAUAGGUUUGGGAUUGGUAUGGUAUAGGCAUGGUGUGGGUAUGGGAUCGAUAUGGAAUGGGUAUGGUAUAGGUAUGGGAUGGUUAUGGGAUGGAUAUAUUAUAGUUAUGGGAUGGGUAUAGGAUGCGUAUGGUAUAGGUAUAUAAUGGCUGUGAUAUAGGUAUGGUAUAGGUAAGGGCAUGGCAUGAGUACAGUAUGGGGGGGGCACGGUGUAGGUUGGGGAAUGGAAUGGGUAAUGUAUGGGAUGGGUAUGGUGUAGGGAUGGGAUGGGAUGGGUAUGGUGUAGGUAUGGGUAUGGGAUGGGUAUGGUGUAGGUAUGGGGAUGGGAUGGGUAUGGUGUAGGUAUGAGGUGGGAUGGAUAUGGUGUAGGUAUGGGAUGGGAUGGGUAUGGGAUGGGUAUGGGAAGGGAUGGGAUGGGAUGGGUAUGGUGUAGAUAUGGGUAUGGGAUGGGUAUGGUGUAAGUAUGGGAUGGGAUGGGUAUGGUGUAGAUAUGUGUAUGGGAGGUGCAUGGGAUGGGUAUGGUGUAGGUAUGGGUAUGGGGUGGGUAUGAUGUAGGUAUAGGAUGGGAUGGGUAUGGUGUAGGUAUGGGUACGGGGUGGUGUAGGAAUGGUGAGGUGGGGGCAUGGUGAGGGUGGGGGGGUCACAGCACAGGGUGGGCACUGCAAUGGCGCAGGUCCGGGAUUUGAUGCCGAACUGCUGUCGGCUCCUCAGUGCGGUGGGGGGGGGGACUUCAGCUCAUCCCAGCGCGGCGUUCCGUCCCUCCUUCACCGCCAUCCGCGCUGUUGUGCACCGCUCCGAAAAGCCCCCACCGAACCGGGGGGUGGGGGGGGGUUCAGGAUGGCCCACCCUCCACGACUCCUCCAUCACUUUCUGCAUCCGCGCCCCCCCCCGACAGCCACGGCUGCAGUGAUGGUGUCACAGCUCUGACAUCAGAGCCAAACCGUGACGUCACUCCCCAUCCCGUGACCACCCCCCACCCCCCCCAUCCCGGUGAUGUCAGCAGUCACAAUUACGACAUCGAUCUCCCGUUGAGGCGGUGGGAUGGGGGGGUGGGGGGCAACAGCAGCGCGGGAGGGGCUGCGUGGGGGCACCGCCG
ensembl:lncRNA